rnacentral:rRNA from 1 species
CCCACCCGUGUUUAUUUUACCUUGUUGCUUCGGCGGGCCCGCCUUAACUGGCCGCCGGGGGGCUUACGCCCCCGGGCCCGCGCCCGCCGAAGACACCCUCGAACUCUGUCUGAAGAUUGUAGUCUGAGUGAAAAUAUAAAUUAUUUAAAACUUUCAACAACGGAUCUCUUGGUUCCGGCAUCGAUGAAGAACGCAGCGAAAUGCGAUACGUAAUGUGAAUUGCAAAUUCAGUGAAUCAUCGAGUCUUUGAACGCACAUUGCGCCCCCUGGUAUUCCGGGGGGCAUGCCUGUCCGAGCGUCAUUGCUGCCCUCAAGCACGGCUUGUGUGUUGGGCCCCGUCCUCCGAUCCCGGGGGACGGGCCCGAAAGGCAGCGGCGGCACCGCGUCCGGUCCUCGAGCGUAUGGGGCUUUGUCACCCGCUCUGUAGGCCCGGCCGGCGCUUGCCGAUCAACCCAAAUUUUUAUCCAGGUUGACCUCGGAUCAGGUAGGGAUACCCGCUG